rnacentral:rRNA from 1 species
GUAGGUGGCAAGCGUUAUCCGGAUUUAUUGGGCGUAAAGCGAGCGCAGGCGGUCUUUUAAGUCUAAUGUGAAAGCCUUCGGCUCAACCGAAGAAGUGCAUUGGAAACUGGGAGACUUGAGUGCAGAAGAGGACAGUGGAACUCCAUGUGUAGCGGUGAAAUGCGUAGAUAUAUGGAAGAACACCAGUGGCGAAGGCGGCUGUCUGGUCUGCAACUGACGCUGAGGCUCGAAAGCAUGGGUAGCGAACAGGAUUAGAUACCCUGGUAGUCCAUGCCGUAAACGAUGAUUACUAAGUGUUGGAGGGUUUCCGCCCUUCAGUGCUGCAGCUAACGCAUUAAGUAAUCCGCCUGGGGAGUACGACCGCAAGGUUG